UAACCCCGUGAAGAAGCGGGGAUCUCAAUAUAAGACGAGAAGACCUUAUGGAGCUUAAAACAAUUCAUCACCUGCCACCCACCUAUUUCCCCGGCACGCUGAUUAUAUGUUUUUGGUUGGGGUGACCGCGGAGAAAAGCCCAUCCUCCGCAAUGAGGGAAUCUCCCCUAAACAAUAAGUCACAACUUUAUGAAUCAGAAAACUGAC
rnacentral:rRNA from 1 species